rnacentral:lncRNA from 1 species
CAGUUUCAUCAUAGUAUAAAUAUAAUCAGAAAAUAAAACCAUAGCGAAAAAAGAAAUUUAAAUAGCGGCCUUAUUACAACUUAAAACCCAAAAUUAAAUCAGAAUAUAAAAAUAAUAAAAAUAAACUAACUUAGAAAAACCAACUUUGCAGAUGAUGUGGCCACUCCGAAUCCCUCACAGCUCCAAGCCCACUAUGGUUGGGGAUUUCCUGCAGAGAUGAAAAUAAAGGGUGAGUUCGGUAAACUCAGUGUGUAACAUAGCCCAACCAUAGCCCAAAACAGAUCAAACCUCAGAGUCAGACUUAUCUAGGCCUUGGCCCAAU